UUAAAUUGAAGAGUUUGAUCAUGGCUCAGAUUGAACGCUGGCGGCAGGCCUAACACAUGCAAGUCGAACGGUAACAGGAAGCAGCUUGCUGUUUUGCUGACGAGUGGCGGACGGGUGAGUAAUGUCUGGGAAACUGCCUGAUGGAGGGGGAUAACUACUGGAAACGGUAGCUAAUACCGCAUAACGUCGCAAGACCAAAGAGGGGGACCUUAGGGCCUCUUGCCAUCGGAUGUGCCCAGAUGGGAUUAGCUAGUAGGUGGGGUAACGGCUCACCUAGGCGACGAUCCCUAGCUGGUCUGAGAGGAUGACCAGCCACACUGGAACUGAGACACGGUCCAGACUCCUACGGGAGGCAGCAGUGGGGAAUAUUGCACAAUGGGCGCAAGCCUGAUGCAGCCAUGCCGCGUGUAUGAAGAAGGCCUUCGGGUUGUAAAGUACUUUCAGCGGGGAGGAAGGGAGUAAAGUUAAUACCUUUGCUCAUUGACGUUACCCGCAGAA
rnacentral:rRNA from 1 species